rnacentral:lncRNA from 1 species
ACUUGUCCUUCUAAGAAGUUGGGGGAAGUUGACUGCUUGGGAGUCCCAUAACUAGUUAGCAUGCCAGAGUCUCAUUCAUUAUCAGAAUUAACCAGACAAAUCACUCCACCAACUAAGGCCAUGCACCACCACCCAUGGAAUCGAGAAAGAGCUAUCAAUCUGUCAAUCCUGUCUGUGUCCGGGCCGGGUAAGGUUUCCUGUGUUGAGUCAAAUUAAGCUGCAGGCUCCACUCCUGGUGGUGCCCUUCCACCAAUUCCUUUAAGUUUCAGCUUUGCAACCAUACCACCCCCAGGAACCCAAAAACCCAAAGACUUUGGUUUCUCAGAAGUUGCCCAGUGAGUCAUGGAAAUAAUGUUGCCACAUUGCCAAUCGGCAUCGUUUAUGGUCCAAACUACGACGGUAUCUGAUCAUCUUAGAACCUCUGACUUUACUUCUUGGUUAAUGAAAACAUUCUUGGCAAAUGCUUCAGCUCUGAUCCGAACUGUGCCGGUCCAAGAAUUUCACCUCUAGCGGCACAAUACAAAUGCCUCUGGCCAUCCGUCUUAAUCGUGGCCUCAAUUCCGAAAACCAACAAAAGAGAACCGCUGUCCUAUUCCAUCAUUCCUAGCUGCGGGAUCCAGGUGGCUCAUAUCUGCUUUGAACAUUCUAACUUUUUCAAAGUAAACACUUCGGGCCGUGGGACACUCAGCUAAGUGCAUCGAGGGGUC